GACGAACGCUGGCGGCGUGCUUAACACAUGCAAGUCGAGCGGUAAGGCCCUUUCGGGGGUACACGAGCGGCGAACGGGUGAGUAACACGUGGGUGACCUGCCCUCAGCUCUGGGAUAAGCCUGGGAAACUGGGUCUAAUACCGGAUAUGACUCCAUGACGCAUGUUGUGGGGUGGGAAGCCUUGUGCGGCUGAGGAUGGGCCCGCGGCCUAUCAGCUUGUUGGUGGGGUGAGGCCUACCAAGGCGACGACGGGUAGCCGGCCUGAGAGGGCGACCGGCCACACUGGGACUGAGACACGGCCCAGACUCCUACGGGAGGCAGCAGUGGGGAAUCUUGCGCAAUGGGCGAAAGCCUGACGCAGCGACGCCGCGUGAGGGAUGACGGCCUCGGUGU
rnacentral:rRNA from 1 species